rnacentral:lncRNA from 1 species
GUUAGUAUAGGACUAACACUGUUAAAGAAGGUGUCACGUGUGAGUUUGUGGGUUUUUUCUUAUUAUUUUAAAUAUUUUUUUUUAAUUUUUUAAUUUUUAAACUUUUUUAUAUCAUUUUCAAAUAAUAACAAUUUGCCACUUGUCAAACUAAUGGUGUGUCAUGUUGCAAUGACAAUGUGAUGUGAUAGUGGUAGUGCCACGUGUGGAAGAGUAUGGAAGAGCAUGGAAGAAGAAGAAGGAGCAACAUACUUUU